rnacentral:rRNA from 1 species
GACGAACGCUGGCGGCGUGCUUAACACAUGCAAGUCGAACGGAAAGGCCCUGCUUUUGUGGGGUGCUCGAGUGGCGAACGGGUGAGUAACACGUGAGUAACCUGCCCUUGACUUUGGGAUAACUUCAGGAAACUGGGGCUAAUACCGGAUAGGAGCUCCUGCUGCAUGGUGGGGGUUGGAAAGUUUCGGCGGUUGGGGAUGGACUCGCGGCUUAUCAGCUUGUUGGUGGGGUAGUGGCUUACCAAGGCUUUGACGGGUAGACGGCCUGAGAGGGUGACCGGCGAAAUUGGGACUGAGAUACGGCCCAGGCUCCUACGGGAGGCAGCAGUGGGGAAUAUUGCACAAUGGGCGGAAGCCUGAUGAAGCAACGCCGCGUGCGGGAUGACGGCCUUCGGGUUAUAAACCGCUUUCGCCUGUGACGAAGCGUGAGUGACGGUAAUGGGUAGAGAAGCACCGGCUAACUACGUG